UACGAAGGGGGCGAGCGUUGUUCGGAAUUACUGGGCGUAAAGGGCGCGCAGGCGGCCUUAGAAGUCAGAUGUGAAAGCCCCGGGCUCAACCUGGGAAUGGCAUUUGAUACUCUGAGGCUGGAGUACGGGAGAGGAGAGUGGAAUUCCCAGUGUAGAGGUGAAAUGCGCAGAUAUCAGGAGGAACACCGGUGGCGAAGGCGGGUCUCUGGGCCGAUAUUGACGCUGAGGAGCGAAAGCGUGGGGAGCGAACAGG
rnacentral:rRNA from 1 species